GGCCUUCUAGCUCAGUUGGGUUAGAGCGUGGUGCUAAUAACGCCAUGCCAUCAGUUUCGAUCCUGAUGAGGGCCA
rnacentral:tRNA from 1 species